AAGGGAGGGAGGGAAGGUUGGUUGAUUUGGGCUCAUGUUUAAGACACACUCUAUCAUGGUAAGGAAAUCCUGCUAUCAAGAGCCUGAGGUCGUUGAUCACAUUAGCUCUACAGUCAGGAAGCUAAGAGAGAGAGAAGAUGGCAGCAGCCGCAAGCACCCUCGGAAAUGUGAGGAUGCUCGGAGGAGCCUGAGAGACCCGCAAAGGCUUCGCGGGAAGAUGGCAGCUGCAGAGGGAGGACGAGAAGGGAGGCUGAGCCUGCAGUGAGCGAAAUAGCUCUGGAACAACUGGAAAACGGCAGGUGUUCUGGAAAGAUGCUUUUUAAAAAGCAGUUUCAUGGAACUGGAAAAAAAGAUGGUGGCAAGGAGAGGCGCGCAUGGAAGAAAGAAGUGGAACUAGAGUCGCAACGGCAGCAACGGGUGUGAGAGCCUGGCUAUGGCAGACAAAGGAGCUUGUUGUUGCUGAGUAGGGCCAGUCCUCAGGCUGCUGGGAGGCUCGGGCCACCAUGGGGCCCACCACACCCUGUAGCCUCCUGCUGGGCUGCUGCAGCCACUUACUCGGUGGCUCAUUCUGCAAAUCCGAUGGCUGUGCCUGGGUACCAGCUGGGCGGCUGACCCCGAGGGCAGGUCAGCUGACCCCGAGGGUAGCGUGGUUGACACUGAGCGCAGGAUGGUAUACAGCAGUUUGUUGGUACACAGGUGGUCCAGGUCCCGUCUCCGAUGUGCUGCCCAAUCUCCCGAUCACCCUGACUCUUGAGCAACAACAAGAGGCAAAGACUGAUUCAUUUUCUGGAUUAAGUCUCCUGGAAAGUUUCCCCGUGGUCCAUGAUGCUGCCGGAGGCCAUAUUGGUGUGUGAGUUCACUACUGCCGCCUGCGACUGCAUCGAAGUCCGUGAUCUUCGCCACCACUGAAGACUAGAUUGAUGUUCAUGAGCUCAACAGCCGCAGGAAACUAUGCUGGAGUCCACAGUCUGUGCUACCACCAGCUGCCAUGAGCAAGGAACUCACCAGAAAAUGAGAGACAUUGAAGGUUUUUGUGACAGCCCCUCCUCCUGCCCCCCAGAAAGCAACAGUCUACACAAGAAGCCAUUGAAGAGAUUCUUUAAAAGCUGUGAUAACGAUGCCGAUUGUCGCUCUCACAGUUGAUGGCUUCUGGUGGGGAUGGAUGGGAAAUGACUCCGUUUUCUUUAAGGGACUGGCCACUGAGCGUUAAAGCCAAGCUCCAGUGAGUAUAUGGGUAACACAGAUUGGACUUGGUGGGUUGGGGGCCAGGGGAGGGUGCAAGUCCUGGGAGAAACGGGAAGCAAGUGUGAUCAGGGUACAUUUGAUGAAUUUCCCAAAUAAUUAAUAAAAAUAUUGCAUGGGGAUGUUGAGGUGAAAUAGACACAACAUAAAGUUACCAUUUAA